AUAUGUGACGAUUAUGACGGUAGCAUAUGAAUAAGGAUCGGCUAAUUCCGUGCCAGCAGCCGCGGUCAUACGGAAGAUCCAAGCGUUAUCCGGAAUUACUGGGCGUAAAGAGUUGCGUAGGUGGCAUAGUAAGCAGAUAGUGAAAUGACGCGGCUCAACCGUGUGUCCAUUAUCUGAACUGCUAAGCUAGAGGGCGAGAGAGGUAGCUGGAAUUCCUAGUGUAGGAGUGAAAUCCGUAGAUAUUAGGAGGAACACCGAUGGCGUAGGCAGGCUACUGGCUCGUCCCUGACACUAAGGCACGAAAGCGUGGGGAGCGACCGGGAUUAGAUACCCCGUUAGUCCACGCCGUAAACGAUGGAUGCUAGCUGUUAUGCGUAUCGACCCGCGUAGUAGCGAAGCUAACGCGUUAAGCAUCCCGCCUGUGGAGUACGAGCGCAAGCUUAAAACAUAAAGGAAUUGACGGGGACCCGCACAAGCGGUGGAGCGUGUUCUUUAAUUCGAUGGUAAGCGAAGAACCUUACCAAGGUUUGACAUCCUGCGAAGGUCUCCGAAAGGAGACUGUGCCUUGUGAGCGCAGUGACAGGUGUUGCAUGGCCGUCGUCAGCUCGUGUCGUGAGAUGUUUGGUUAAGUCCAUCAACGAGCGCAACCCUUAUAGUUAGUUGAAUUUCUCUAGCUAGACUGCCCCGGCAACGGGGAGGAAGGAGGGGAUGAUGUCAGGUCAGUAUUACCCUUACACCUUGGGCUAGAAACACGCUACAAUGGCCAGUACAAAGGGCAGCCAAGUCGCGAGACGGAGCAAAUCCCAUCAAAGCUGGUCUCAGUUCGGAUAGCAGGCUGAAACUCGCCUGC
rnacentral:rRNA from 1 species